CCCUCUCUCUCUCUCUCUCCAUCUCUCUCUCUAUAUAUAAAGUUGCAAUUAAAUGUUGUCCUGACACCUGUAAGCUAGUUUGGGAAAAGUGCAGAUGACCAACCAUGACAUUUGUAAAAUAAGGCUCUGUGCAACUAAAUUCUGCUGGAGGGCUCAAAAUGACUGAAGAGUUGCAAUCUGUAGCAGCUUCGCAAUUGCAUUCUUUGCAUCCUGCACAAGUUCAUUGGUAAAACUCAUUGGCAAAACUAGACCUUCGGUUUGGUUACCACCUAAUAAAUAUGGAUGCUUCCUUGGACUAUCAAUCAUCAUCAGCAGGGAUUAGUAUGGUUGUUGGGCAGGACGGGUGUUAUGGGCGUUGUGAUUCUUUUCUCAUAUCCUCCCCUCUUGCUGCAGAGGGUCUUGCAGUCAAGGAAGCUCUAAGCUUUGCCAUUUCCAGGGCCUUCAAUUCCUGUGUGAUCGAGUCUGAUUUAAUGCAGAUAGUUCAGUCAUCUUCCUCUCAAGUCGCUCCUCCGUGGGAACUUGAAGUCUUUUUUAAUGAUAUCCGCGGACAUCCGGCUUCCUAUCCUUCUAUCAAAUUAGUGUUUGUUCUUAAAACAGCAAACAAGUGGGCAAAUUGGUUCGCUAAUGAGGCUAGAGUUGGUGAUGUCAGAGCGGGGUGGGUCAUAAUCCCCAUCGCCUCUCUUGUGUCUCUCUUUAUGCAAGGAUAGUGCUG
rnacentral:misc_RNA from 1 species